CAGGUACUCCUUGCGUCCGGAAAUACUUGUUCUAGAAAUGGAUGAAAUAGAUGUAUCUAUAACUAAAAUAAGUCUAGAUACAACCGGAUUGCAGUUGGACCAAGUAUUUCCGGACGGAAGGAGUAUGUC
rfam:Triticum urartu cultivar G1812 contig1203136, whole genome shotgun sequence.